rnacentral:rRNA from 1 species
GGCGUGUGACUGCGUACCUUUUGUAUAAUGGGUCAGCGACUUAUAUUCUGUAGCAAGGUUAACCGAAUAGGGGAGCCGAAGGGAAACCGAGUCUUAACUGGGCGUUAAGUUGCAGGGUAUAGACCCGAAACCCGGUGAUCUAGCCAUGGGCAGGUUGAAGGUUGGGUAACACUAACUGGAGGACCGAACCGACUAAUGUUGAAAAAUUAGCGGAUGACUUGUGGCUGGGGGUGAAAGGCCAAUCAAACCGGGAGAUAGCUGGUUCUCCCCGAAAGCUAUUUAGGUAGCGCCUCGUGAAUUCAUCUCCGGGGGUAGAGCACUGUUUCGGCAAGGGGGUCAUCCCGACUUACCAACCCGAUGCAAACUGCGAAUACCGGAGAAUGUUAUCACGGGAGACACACGGCGGGUGCUAACGUCCGUCGUGAAGAGGGAAACAACCCAGACCGCCAGCUAAGGUCCCAAAGUCAUGGUUAAGUGGGAAACGAUGUGGGAAGGCCCAGACAGCCAGGAUGUUGGCUUAGAAGCAGCCAUCAUUUAAAGAAAGCGUAAUAGCUCACUGGUCNUAGAAGCAGCCAUCAUUUAAAGAAAGCGUAAUAGCUCACUGGUCGAGUCGGCCUGCGCGGAAGAUGUAACGGGGCUAAACCAUGCACCGAAGCUGCGGCAGCGACGCUGAUGCGUUGUUGGGUAGGGGAGCGUUCUGUAAGCCUGCGAAGGUGUGCUGUGAGGCAUGCUGGAGGUAUCAGAAGUGCGAAUGCUGACAUAAGUAACGAUAAAGCGGGUGAAAAGCCCGCUCGCCGGAAGACCAAGGGUUCCUGUCCAACGUUAAUCGGGGCAGGGUGAGUCGACCCCUAAGGCGAGGCCGAAAGGCGUAGUCGAUGGGAAACAGGUUAAUAUUCCUGUACUUGGUGUUACUGCGAAGGGGGGACGGAGAAGGCUAUGUUGGCCGGGCGACGGUUGUCCCGGUUUAAGCGUGUAGGCUGGUUUUCCAGGCAAAUCCGGAAAAUCAAGGCUGAGGCGUGAUGACGAGGCACUACGGUGCUGAAGCAACAAAUGCCCUGCUUCCAGGAAAAGCCUCUAAGCAUCAGGUAACAUCAAAUCGUACCCCAAACCGACACAGGUGGUCAGGUAGAGAAUACCAAGGCGCUUGAGAGAACUCGGGUGAAGGAACUAGGCAAAAUGGUGCCGUAACUUCGGGAGAAGGCACGCUGAUAUGUAGGUGAAGUCCCUUGCGGAUGGAGCUGAAAUCAGUCGAAGAUACCAGCUGGCUGCAACUGUUUAUUAAAAACACAGCACUGUGCAAACACGAAAGUGGACGUAUACGGUGUGACGCCUGCCCGGUGCCGGAAGGUUAAUUGAUGGGGUUAGCCGCAAGGCGAAGCUCUUGAUCGAAGCCCCGGUAAACGGCGGCCGUAACUAUAACGGUCCUAAGGUAGCGAAAUUCCUUGUCGGGUAAGUUCCGACCUGCACGAAUGGCGUAAUGAUGGCCAGGCUGUCUCCACCCGAGACUCAGUGAAAUUGAACUCGCUGUGAAGAUGCAGUGUACCCGCGGCAAGACGGAAAGACCCCGUGAACCUUUACUAUAGCUUGACACUGAACAUUGAGCCUUGAUGUGUAGGAUAGGUGGGAGGCUUUGAAGUGUGGACGCCAGUCUGCAUGGAGCCGACCUUGAAAUACCACCCUUUAAUGUUUGAUGUUCUAACGUUGACCCGUAAUCCGGGUUGCGGACAGUGUCUGGUGGGUAGUUUGACUGGGGCGGUCUCCUCCUAAAGAGUAACGGAGGAGCACGAAGGUUGGCUAAUCCUGGUCGGACAUCAGG